rnacentral:rRNA from 1 species
AGUGGCGAACGGGUGAGUAACACGUGGGUAACCUGCCCAUCAUAAGGGGAUAACACUUGGAAACAGGUGCUNAAUACCGUAUAACNAAUCUAAACCGCAUGGUUUUGAUUUGAAAGGCGCUUUCGGGUGUCGCUGAUGGAUGGACCCGCGGUGCAUUAGCUAGUUGGUGAGGUAACGGCUCACCAAGGCCACGAUGCAUAGCCGNACCUGAGAGGGUGAUCGGCCACAUUGGGACUGAGACACGGCCCAAACUCCUACGGGAGGCAGCAGUAGGGAAUCUUCGGCAAUGGACGAAAGUCUGACCGAGCAACGCCGCGUGAGUGAAGAAGGUUUUCGGAUCGUAAAACUCUGUUGUUAGAGAAGAACAAGGAUGANGAGUANACUGUUCAUCCCUUGACGGUAUCUAACCAGAAAGCCACGGCUAACUACGUGCCAGCAGCCGCGGUAAUACGUAGGUGGCAAGCGUUGUCCGGAUUUAUUGGGCGUAAAGCGAGCGCACGCGGUUUCUUAAGUCUGAUGUGAAAGCCCCCGGCUCAACCGGGGAGGGUCAUUGGAAACUGGGAGACUUGAGUGCAGAACAGGAGAGUGGAAUUCCAUGUGUAGCGGUGNAAAUGCGUAGAUAUAUGGAGGAACACCACUGGCGAAUGCGGCUCUCUGGUCUGUAACUGACGCUGAGGCUCGAAAGCGUGUGGAGCAAACAGGAUUACAUACCCUGGUAGUCCACGCCGUAAACGAUGAGUGCUAAGUGUUGGAAGGUUUCCGCCCUUCACUGCUGCAGCUAACGCAUUAAACACUCCGCCUGGGGAGUACGACCGCAAGGUUGAAACUCAAAGGAAUUGACGGGGGCCCGCACAAGCGGUGUAGCAUGUGGUUUAAUUCAAAUCAACGCGAAGAGCCUUACCAUGUCUUGACAUCCUUUGACCACUCUACAUAUAGAGCUUCCCCUUCGG